GAAAUAGUGUGGCAACUCCAGCAGUAUUGCUUCAAAAUUGACUUCCGUAUUUUGAAAAUAAUUCUUUUACACAAUUAAAUUGUUUCAUUUGAAUUUUUUAAUAUUGUAGGGGUACAUAGUAGAGAGUGGCAAUGAGAGCACUACACCUGUUAGAUAUCCAAAAUCGCGUGCCAGCACGAAAAUCGAACUAUCCUCAUGGCGCAUUUGUGUUGGGUCCAUACACCACUUGAAAGCCUGCAACACACAGAGUUAGAUAUAAACGAGAGUGCUUCUGGUAUUCAAUAAUGUCCACACAUACCAUGCGCACCGACCAAUGCGGAUCCAUAUCAAUACGCAGCAUGCCAAAAUAAAUUAUCACAGGGGAAAUACUAAGGCAGCAAAGUAUCAGGACUGCCUUAAAGCGACAAAGUGAAUAUAAACUUUUGGCGUAUUUCUGGAAUGUGCGUAGUGUCAAUAACGCCAAAAAGCAUGACAAUAGGCAUUGAUGUGGAAAUUGUGCAGCCAAAUAAAUGCGACUUAUAGACAUGCCUGCGCCGGCUAGUAUAACCCCGAGCAUACAAAAUGCGCGCAGAUGUCGCUUAGGCAACUGCAGACGCUGCCAACAAGCGGGCAGUAUCGUUAAAGCUAACAAAUAAACGGUUGUGCUGAUUGACACCAAAUGGCUCGAAGGAAACGCGGCUGUUGUUUCACAAGUGCCUUGAUGUUGCUGCAGUGUCGUGUUAACAUUAUAUUCACGCAGCCACCAGUAUGGACGAUUCGCCGGCACGGACCUAGCAAUAAGUGAAUGAGGAUAAAGCAUUCAUCACACCUAGCGCGCUUACAAGCAGCACCAUAAGCUGCUGGCUGAACACUCCUAUUAACGGCACAUAGAUAUCCAGUAGUUUUGCUGGCGUCAAAUGCUCGCUGAGUAGCAGCAGUGCCGGGGCUACAGGCGCAAAGCUGUAAGAAAGUAGCACUUCAAAGAAGACCUCUAAAUAUUUGUUUUAUUUACCGUCAAAUGAGUAAUAACUAAGCGUAUGCGUGAAGCAUUUGUUGACGUUCGAAAUUCACAACACGUUUGAGCCACAAAAAGUCGGAAAAUAUGCACAUUUUUAAUGUUGGAAUGCAGCGACAGCAUAGACUUGUCUAUAUGACACACAAAAACAAUGAAUGACAAAUGCUAAAAACAUUUUACGAGCGUUUAAACAAAAUUAAGCUGAAUAAAUUUGACAAAAAAUAAUAAUAAUGUAAAGGUGCAUACUUCAACUACAAAUACUGCAGUAGUGAACGGCAUGACAUUGUACGUAGUAUAGUGUGUGGUGAAAUGUCUAUUUGAGAUGCUGCAGCAUGUUUUAUGAAUAUGCAAUUUAUUUCACAUCAUUACAGAAGCACUGUCUGCCAACCAUUAAAAAGUUUUACUAACCGCUACUAUUUUUGUAACUAAAUACCGACGCUUAAUUUCAAAGUUAUUAACUUGAGAAUACAAUAUUUUAUACUAUCUUUUGUACUAGCGAGCAAUAAAUUAAGUAUUGACAACACAACAGACGUUGAUGCCGACUAAAAUAAAUCUGGCAUGUAUCUACAGU